UGGCGGCGUAGCUCAGCUGGCUAGAGCGUACGGUUCAUACCCGUAAGGUCGGGGGUUCGAUCCCCUCUGCCGCCAUCC
rnacentral:tRNA from 1 species